CAGCAGCCGCGGGAAUACGAAGGGUGCAAGCGUUAAUCGGAAUUACUGUGCGUAAAGCGUGCGUAGGCGGUGAGUUAAGUCUGCUGUGAAAUCCCCGGGCUAAACCUGGGAAUGGCAGUGGAUACUGGCUCGCUAGAGUGUGUCAGAGGAUGGUGGAAUUCCCGGUGUAGCGGUGAAAUGCGUAGAGAUCGGGAGGAACAUCAGUGGCGAAGGCGGCCAUCUGGGACAACACUGACGCUGAGGCACGAAAGCGUGGGGAGCAAAUAGGAUUAGAGACCCGCGUAGUCCCUGUCUCUUAUAA
rnacentral:rRNA from 1 species